UGAGUACGAGACGCUAAGGCGUUGAAGUAGUGGAUGUCGUACUUCCAAGAAAAGCUUGCACUGUCAUAAAUAAAAGAUGCCUGUACCAUAACCGACACAGGUGGGUAGGUAGGGUAUACUAAGGGGCGCGAGAUAACUCUCUCUAAGGAACUCGGCAAAAUGACUCCGUAACUUCGGGAGAAGGAGUGCCUUAUUCGUAAGGCUGCAAUAACAAGAUCCAAGCAACUGUUUAUCAAAAACACAGGUCUCCGCUAGGUCGUAAGACGAUGUAUGGGGGCUGACGCCUGCCCAGUGCCAGAAGGUUAAAGAAGUCGGUUAGCAUUAGCGAAGCUGGUAACUGAAGCCCUGGUGAACGGCGGCCGUAACUAUAACGGUCCUAAGGUAGCGAAAUUCCUUGUCGGGUAAGUUCCGACCCGCACGAAAGGCGUAAUGAUUUGGAUACUGUCUCGGAGAGGGGCUCGGUGAAAUAGACUUGUCUGUGAAGAUGCGGACUACCUGCACCAGGACAGAAAGACCCUAUGAAGCUUUACUGUAACUUGAAAUUGAAAUUGGACUUUAUUCGCGCAGUAUAGGUGGGAGGCGUUGAUUAUAAUCUUGCGGGAUUAUUGGAGCCAUCAGUGAGAUACCACUCUUGUAAUGUUAGAUUUCUAACUUUGAAUCAUUAUCUGGUCAAAGAACAGUUUCAGGCGGGCAGUUUGACUGGGGCGGUCGCCUCCUAAACGGUAACGGAGGCGUACAAAGGUUUCCUCUGAACGGGUAGAAAUCGUAUCUAGAGUGUAAAGGCAUAAGGAAGCUUGACUGUGAGACCUACAAGUCGAGCAGGGACGAAAGUCGGUCUUAGUGAUCUGACGGUACUGAGUGGAAAGGCCGUCACUCAACGGAUAAAAGUUACUCUAGGAUAACAGGCUGAUCUCCCCCAAGAGUUCACAUCGACGGGGAGGUUUGGCACCUUGAUGUCGGCUCAUCGCAUCCUGGGGCGGUAGUACGUCCCAAGGGUUGGGCUGUUCGCCCAUGAAAGCGGUACGCGAGCUGGGUUCAGAACGUCGUGAGACAGUUCGGUCCAUAUCCGGUGUAGGCGUUAGAAUAUUGAGAGGAGCCUUCUUUAGUACGAGAGGACCGAGAAGGACAUACCUCUGGUGUACCAGUUAUCGUGCCAACGGUAAACGCUGGGUAGCUAUGUAUGGAGUGGAUAACCGCUGAAAGCAUCUAAGUGGGAAGCCCACCUCAAGAUAAGUAUUCUC
rnacentral:rRNA from 1 species